ACCACAGUAGCUGAAGGCAUUGAUUGCCCGUCCAGUUUGAUUGGGUUCCCACAGUGGUGUGGCCUUGUGCAAAUCCCUUAACCUCCUCCUAACCCUUGGUGUACUCAUUUGUAAAAUAAGGACCUGAACUACAUGGUUCUUGUUAUAGGAUGAAUGUGCCCUUUGAUGUCCCUGUUCCCAGUGUGACUGUAUUGAAGAUGAGGCCACAAGGGUAAUUAAGGUUAAAAGAGGUCAUGAAGAUGGGACCAUAACUGAAUAGAGCUUGGUGUCUUUAUAGGAGAAGGAAGUGGGGUUGGGGAGAUGGCUCAGUCAAGCAUGAGGACCUGAGUUCAAAUCCCCAGCGCCCAAGUAAAAGUCAGUCUACCAUUGGUGAGGGGAGAGGGGAGGAGACAGAAGGAUCCCUGGAGCAUACUGGCUGACUUGGUGAAUUCCAGGCCCCAUGACAGAUGCUGUUUCUAAAAACAAGGUGUGUGCACACACGUACGGAGGAAUAAAUGCAUUAAUUAAAUUAAAUAAAAAGGAAGAGGAAGACACACCAGAGGCCUCCCUUCUCAGGCUGAGUAAGCCCUGAGCAAAGCAAAGGGGCAGCCAUAGGACCCAGCCCAGGCUCCUUGACCUUGGACUGACAGCUUUUAGAGCUACUAGGCUUGGUUUCGUGGCUCAAGCCACCAGUGUGUGGUCCUUUAUUAGAUGCGCCUUGCAUACUGAUGAGUUCGACCCCCAUGAUUCUCUGGGCAGUGUAUCUGAAAACUCCCUUCACACCCAGCCCCCUUGGAGUUAGCGAUACCUCGCGCCCUGUUCUAGUACACACACUCCCACAGGGCCUCUGACAGUCCUAGCCGAGGCUCCUGUUUCUGGUGUCACCUUUGCCCGCUAGCCUCUCUCUGCCUUUACAGAUCAUUUCCCACUCUUCCCCUCACAUCACCUCAGUCUGCCCUUCCACAAACGCCUCUCUGACUUAGGCUCUCUCUGUGUGUACGAGGAUGUGAGGAGUCCAGAGGCAGACGCCUGGUGUCUUCUUCAAUCAUUCUCCACAGUGUAUUUUGAGACAGUCUCUCACUGAGCCUAAAGUUCACAGACUGGCUAGACAGGGGAGCUAAAGAGCUCUGGGGGACUGCCUAUCUCUGCCCCCCCCACAGUCCCCUAACACCUGCACCCCCAAACACACGCCUCUAGUGCUAGGGUUUACAAACACCUUUAGUCUGGGUGCUUGGAAUCUGAACUCAGGUCCUCAGGCUUGUACAGCGGGCACUUUACCAGCUGAGCCAUCUUCCCACCCCCAACCCCUACUCUUUCUGAGACAUAGUUUUACUAUGUUGUCUAGGAUAGUUUCCGACUUCCGGGCUCAAGCAGUUCUCUCAUGUCUACUCCCUAAUAGCUAGGACUACAAGAAUGCACUACAGUGCCUGGCUUUGUUGUUGUUGCUCUAAUAGAAUACCUGAAAUUGGGUUGUUUAUAAGGAAAAUUGAUUUAAGGUCAUAGUUUUGGAGUCUAAGAAAUCCGCUGGCAUCGUACUAUUAGUAAUACCUCAUGCUGCUUCAAAUCACGGCAUAAAACAAAAGGAAGACAGGACCUUCCAUAGCCUGCUUUGGGUAGUGACCGAUCAGUCCUGCAGAGAAGUCUCUCCUGUAAGGAAGCCAUUAACCUAAUCCCAGGAGGCCCCGCCUCUCAACGCUGGCCCAUUGAAGAAUUAUGAUUCCAACACGUGAAUAAAUGGAGGACACCAGAAACCACAGCAGGCGGAAAGACAGAAAGAGUGUGUUUACAGAGGGUGUUUGUCCCGGAUGGACCACUGAGCAGUGUCCAGGGACUGCAGUGUCCAGUGUGCUGCAGGCUUCUGUGCUACAAUCCUGCUCUGUCCCUGUCCUCCUCAUUGCCUUCUACGAGUCCACAAUGCUGCAUGAUGGGUGCUGUGUAAGGCGGGAGGAGACAGGAGCUCAGUGCAGUCCGUCUGAAGCAGUCUGAGGAAGUGAUCAGUCUGAGGAUGCAGUCUAAGGAAGCAGUCUGAGGACAGGAUUGCCUCUUUGGUCUGAGCAUUGGUAGAGCCAGUUCAUAUCAGGUGCUCUCUACCGAGUGGCUCUUCAUACUGUGACCGCAGGGUCUGCAGGAUUCUCUUCGCUUCUCGGCAAGGCUGAAUCAAACCCUCACCCCGGCCUACUGAAAUAGACCGCCUGUUUGAAGUUCUCAAGUGAGUCAUGUACACAUGGGGCAUCACUGCUGGAGGGUGUCCUCAAAGUCUUGUCAGUCGUCUGUCCAAGCCUCAUAUAGGGCCUGGGGAGAUAAUUCUAUUGUGUUUGCUUCAUAAGCGUGAGGAUCCACGUUCAGUCCCCGGAACCCAGGGCAGCACUGGGGCUGAAGAGUCAGCCAUGAUCAAUAAGCUAGCAGCACCCCUGAAGUGAAACCUUUGUGUUAGUGGGGCAACUGGUGCUGGUUGGCUGGAGCUAAGAAACGAGCGGUGAUUCAGAAGAGACCAGCAUCACCGAGGUGAAAUCUUCAGGGAAGGGUGUCCUGAGAGCACAGAGAUGGCUCUGUGUUCCAGACGUGCCACGGUUGUACCUCGCACUGGCAGCUGGACCUGGUUAUAUGCUAGAGUCACCCAGGUGGUACUGGUUUGGAAGGCAUGAAGGGGUCAUGGCAAACAAUUGACGCUCGGCAAUGUGAGAAGCCAGGAGAGGUCACUGGUGAAGGUGCAGCCUCAGUGGCAGUUGAAGGCCCAUGACAGAAGGGGUCAUGCAAAGAAGUGGAGGCUCAGCACCAUGAAGAGACCCUAUGAGAGGCUAUUGGCAGAGGUGCAGCCCAAUGGCAGGAGAAGACCCCUGAGUUUUGGAGAUGCCAGGACCAUGGAAUGAGCACCAAGAACAGCAGCAGAAGACAGGCUAUGUGUGCCGUAGAGAGUGGAGCCGGAGAAGUGACCCCAGCCCUUUGGAAGAGUCCUGGAGAUUGUGAGUGGAUCCCAGAUAUUGGACAGUUGGAAUUCAGUUUUGCUUUGCUUUGAUUUGUGACUGUACCCUGUUUUUUUUCCCCCUGUUGAAAUAAGAAAGUGUUUUACUAGCGCCCACAGUUGAGAGACUUUGGCUUUUAAAAGAUUUUGGAUUUUAAAAGAGACUGGCUAUUUUAAAGGGACUGAAAUUUUGAUGUGUUUGAAAUUGUGGAACGUUCAAAGUUACUUAAGUUUUUAACGUGAGAUCUUAGGGAUGAAUAAGAAAGAAAGGGCUGUGGCGUAAUAGUAUAUAUUUGUGUGUAUCAACUUGACACAAGCUAGAGUAAUCAGAGAGGAAGGAUCCUCAGUUGAGGAAAUACCUCCAUGAGAUCCAGCUGUAAGGCAUUUUUUCAGUUAGUGAUCAGUGUAGGAGGGCCCAGACCAUGGUGGGUGGUGCCAUCCCUGGGCUGGUGGUCCUGGGUUCUACAAGAAAGCAGGAUGAUCAAGCCAGGGAAUGUAAGCCAGUGUAAACAGCACCCCUCCAUGUCCUCUGCAUCAGCUCCUGCCUCCAAGUUCCUGCCCUGUUUGAGUUCCUGCCCUGACUUCCUUUGGUGAUGAACAGCCACGUGGAAGUGUGAACUGAAUAAACCCUUUCCUCCCCAGCUUGCUUUUUGGUUGUGAUGUUUGAUUACAGCAGUAAAAACCCUAACUGAGACACCUUUCAAGGGCUG